CUGUCCGUCCGCUGGGUUUCCAUCCCCCCCCACCACCCCCCUCGCCUACCCGCGGUUCAAGUUUCUGCGCCGGGAGGACGCGGCCUUGGCCAAUCCCAGGGCUACAGGGCGCUUUUAAAAUGCAGAGCUCGCAGUGGGACUGCGCUUCCACUGGCCCAGGGGUUAGAUUCGGCCUCUGCUCCCGGAAGGGCCAGGGCCUUGCCAGCCGCGUCCCGGAGCAAGAUCCGUACCCUGGUCCCAGCCACGAUGGGGCGAGGGCUCCGAGACUUGCCCCUCAGUGGGAGCGGCGCUCAGAGCCCUACUUUUUCACCGACUCCACCGCUAAAUCCCUGGGAUCGGACGGGAAUCUGCAAUUCGCGCUGUGGAAACCACUGGGAAAGGUGGAGAAAGUCUUCCACUGUGGCCUUAAUGCCGGAGUCCGGGGAAGAUCAGCGACUGCAGAUCCCCUUGCCACCAGCAACCGUGCGGGGCACCCCGAUCUUCCCACGCUAGAGGCUAUUAUCCUCUGGUCCCCAAAGCGCAUUUACCGCGCGUCUGCUGAAAUCGGGCGGAGGGAGGUGUCCCUCCCCUGGGACUCGCCAGGAGAUAAAAAACCGAGCACGCUACGGUGAGCGGCCCACGGCCUGGAGCGCGCUCCCGCGAAGCAGCUGAUGUCCCCAUUUAGGUUUGCUCAACCAUUCAUUGAACAACUGUGUGCCCAGAGCCUGCUCUCUGCUAGACCUGUUCUAGCCCCCACUUCCCUCCCCAGCCCCGGGGGGUCUGCAUGGGACAGGACAGCAGAAGCCACUGCCCUCUGGGGAUUCAGGCAUUCUGGGAGAAGGAGGGGGGAGAAGAUAAUAAACAAGAUAACUGGGACUGUCUUAAGUACUGUGCAGGGAAUUAAGACAGCUGCUGUCAUAAAAAGUGAUCAUCAGUUGCCUUAGAUCUCCCUGGUCAGGGAGAGACUUAGGACGACUAUAGAAGCUUAGAUCUGGGCGAUGAGGAAGAAGGAAGGGGGAAGGGCGUCCUAGGUGGAGGGAAUAGCUGGGGCAGAGACCCUAGAAUUGCCCUGAGUGAGAGAUGCUCUCAGGGGUCAGAGGGCCAGAUCGUGCAGGGUCUAAAGCAGCUGGGAAAGCCGAGGGGACACUAUUCAGUAGGGAAGUAGAAUGACCUGGCUUACCUUUUAAGAGGCUCUGUCUGGCCCCUGUGUGGAAAAGAGAUGGGGUCCAUACAGAGAGGUCCAGAUUCAGUACCAGGUCCCCUACCUACCUACCUACCCACCUCCUUUUCCAGGUAGAUGGUCAGGAGAGGGUGAUGCAGAGAUGCCAGGCUAGGCAAAGUGCUUCCAAGGUUAUACCCUGCUGUUGAGGUUCCCCAGACUCAGCAACACAUGAGUCAGUGCUGAAUAGAAGGUGUCCUUCCUGCUGGAGCACUGUGCUUUGCCUGUCCAGCCCAGCCCAGCCCAGUUUGCAUUUAGAGAAGGAGGGGGUUUCAUACUGUGCCUGAGGAAGCUGCAGAUAUGUUUUAACCCCCAGAAAGCCAGAUUAACCAGCUGCCCAGAGGCUUACCCAGAGCUAAAUCUAUGUACAGGCAAUUGCUCCCAGGAGGGCUGGACACAGGACACACUACAGGACACCCUAACUCACCAGGGAAGUUGCUGAGAUGAUUCUCUGUUUUGUGCUAUCCUCUCCCAUGGCCUGCACCCCUGAUCUUCCAAGGCCACAGCUUCAGCUAAGACCAAAUUCAGCCUUUACCUAAAUGGGGUAUCACCUGCAGAGUGCUCAGACAGGAGUGCCCCAUCCAAGAGCCUCCAGGGCUUUGCUAACAUCCUCCCUGUAGAGCCAAGACAAGAUGCUAGAGGUGAGGUUCUUGUGUGGCUUGAGGAAGGACAUGGUUGGGCAGAAGAGGACAAGAUGGCAGGAGUGAGAGGGCCCAAGGCUGAAACCGGGUUCUAAAGCAACAGGGACUUCCAGGGCAGAGCCCCCUCCCUGAGGGUCCUGGAUGCUGGGAUCCAACCAGAGGCAUAUGCCCCCCAUAACACAGUCCAACAGAACCAGCAUGGUGAAAUGCCAAGAGAGCUUCUUUUAGCUUUUAGUCACAAGAUCUAUGCUUUGUCAUGCAAAGUAAAAUCAAACCCUGGAGCUCCAGCAGUCCUUGAGCUGCUCAGUGAAAGCUAAGAGCCUUUAGAACAGAGCUGCUCUGCCACCGUCCCUGGCAUGUAGGUGUCAGGUCUGAGCCACACCCACACGGUGUUUUUAAGAGGUGGCUGGGGUUGAGAACCCCCAUGCUAACACAUGGUAGAUAAAAUACUCCAAAAUGCAGGGUCAGCGGGAGAAAUGGUAAUCAGAGAAAGCCAGGAAGGCAGGUUAUACAGCACCUCCAGACAGAGCUCAGUAAUGGAGUGUCCUUGUUUCCACGUGUGGGAGGGGAAAGGGCAGGAGCUGCGGUGUUGACCCCCUACGGGGCAGCAACUGGAGGUCUGCAGGAGUGAACACUCAUUCACCCCACAGUUGGCCGGAGUCACUGAUUUUCUAGGGAGUCAGUGGGGCUGAAGUCCAGAAAGCCUCCUAUGCUGGUAAAGUACCUCAGGUCUAACCAGAAGGCCCAGAAGAGAGACCUGGCCAGACUUAGGUUUGCUUAGAGAAUCAGAGCCUGGAGGCAUUAGGGGAUGUGCAGCUGAGAGGCAGAGAGACAUCAAGGAGCCUCUGAGGUCAGAUAAGUCAGACUGGAGCAGCCUGGGAGUGGAGAUAAAGGAACAGAUUGGAGGUGCUGGCCUCUGCACCCCUCCUUGCCCCUCAAUUCAAAGCUGGAGCCACCGAAAUUCUCUACCACCCUUCUGAGCUCUUCACAGGACUCACUCUCACCUUGAUGCACUUAUUUUCAUAAUGGAUUAGUUAAUAAGCAGGGAGUAGGGAACCCACCACCCAGCUGAAGGAAUCCACCCCAGCCCUCCCCCUCCCCCUCCCAGAACAGCCAGGGCUCUGAAUGUUGUGCGAUGUUGCACUUGCUUCAGGCUUACCGCAGUCCCCCUAUGACACAGUGCUGGAUGUUUGCAUGCUUUUGAAAUUUAUUUAAGUGACAUUACACUUGCAGCCUGCCACUUCCACUCAUUAUUAUGAUGGCAUAUGUAGCUUAGUUUAUUCCUUCUCACAGCUGUAUACCAAAUUGCUCAACCUCAGCUCAGUUGAUAUUUUUAAAAAUUUUUCAAAUUAAAAAUUUAUUUUAGUUGUAGAUGGUCACAAUACCUUUAUUUUAUUCAUUUUAUUUUAUUUUUUAUGUGGUGCUGAGGAUCAAACCCAGUACCUCACAUAUGCUGGGAAAGUGCUCCACCACUGAGCUACAACCCCAGCCCCUCAGUUGACAUUUUGGACCCAAUAGAUCUUUAAUUAGUGGAGGGGAAUUGGGGCGCAGGUGCUGUCCUAAGCAUUGUAGAAUGUUUACCAACAUUUACCCAUUGGAUGGAAGUAGCACCCCUUCACCCACUUUUAAAAAACAAAAACUGAGCCAUACAUGGUGGUGCACACCUGUAAUCCCAGCAACUCAGAGGCUGAGGCAGGUGGAUCUCAAUUCGAAACCAGCCUGGGCAACUUAGUGAGACCCUGUCU
rnacentral:lncRNA from 1 species